UCUUUAACAAAGCAACUGGAGUCAGGUUAAAGCAAAGACAAAUAUUCUAAAAAUGGUCUGAGGCCGGGGUAAGCCAAUCUAAGGUAAAAUCCUCUAAAACGACUAAUUUGGAUGACAGAAAAGGUUUGUAAAGAAAACUAAAGAUACAACCCCAUCUCACACAACUUUGUCAAAAUAGUCCUCAUGAUGAGAAACCCAACACCAGAGCAACAUCUUCUGCACAAUAAAGGGACUCCAACAUUCCUGCGCAAUAAAGUGACUCCAACUUUCCCCCAUAGUAAAUUCAUGAGAACACUAGAAAACGCUCCAACUUGUGUGUACACUUGUGUACUACCUACUAGUUUGUUUUUUUGCAGCUGUCAGAGCUGUGUAGAUUGUUAAAGUGGAGGUGUAUCACCACAUGAAUAGCGCCCUAUGCCAUUUUCAAUGAUGUAUAUAAACAUUGGAUUGCUAUUGGCUACAGUAUUUCAAUUAAAUGUUGUAAGGAUAAAAUGACAUGUAUUUAAGUAUUUUUCUUGUUGUAGUGGGGACAGUAACAGUCAAACACUUUCUAUCUAAAAAUGAUACUUUAAGGAAACUGUUUAAUUAUAUAUAUUUUGCAUUUGUAUGUUUAGCUCACAUAAUAUAAUUUAUAAUAAUGCAUUAAGGUGUCUAAUAGAAUAAACAUGGCAAAACAAAAUGUAGACAUUAAUAAAUCCAUUUCUAAAGCUUCCAAAAUAUGUUUUACAACGUGCUAGGCCUAUUUUAGCCCCCUAAAAUAUUAAUUAUCCCCCCCUUAAAUAAAUCAAUAUAUUUUCUGAUUUAUUUUUCCCCCCGUCAACCGUUCCAUCGCAUCUUAUCGGGCAGGCACUAGGACCUGGGGGAGGCUGCUGCUGCAGAGGCUGCUGCACGCCCUAGUAAAUGUUAUUUUUUCUUCAGCAAAGAUGGCUGACAAAAAUACUAGGAUGGAAGCACAUGGACUCCUGAAACAACCAGCAAACCAGGCUGUCGUCUUGUGAAACAGUGGAUGUAUAGAAUCUAGCUAGCUUAAGUAUUUACUGCAAAUUGAAUGUACAAUUUUGUAAGCUUGCCUUGCUGAUAUGCCAUGCAGAUAUUAAAAAACGUAGCUAGCUAUGUUCUUGCUUAUUGUGCAGUGGAGGAUACAAAUACCUGUAUGCCUAUGGAUGUGUAGCUAGCUAGCUAGCUGAUCUGUGUAUUGACCCAAACAUUUAGUAUACAUAUUAGUUCAGAACCUAGCUAUGAACCUCAGCUAUCAUAGCCAGUUGUAUCAACUUCAUAACAGUCUGAAUGACAUCAAUGAAGCCUAUGGAUUGAGUAGAAUAUAACUUUGUGCCAAGGAUGCAAGUCGUAUAUACAUGUAGUUAUUACCAUACAUGAGAUCCCCACAUUGUAGCCUGUACAUUUUAAUAUAUUCACUGAUCAUGUACUCUACCUUGGCAAAUAAAUGUGCAGUUCAGAUAUGAA